AGAGGAGCUGGACCCGAGUGAGGAAGGGCCAGAGUGGUAGGACAGGACUUUAGAGGUAGUGUCGGAAGAGGACAGGUCACCGAGGGUGGAGUAGGUCAAGGCUGGGACUGUGGACUGUAUUCUGAGUGUGAUGGCAGCGCUGGGGGUGGACAUUGGAACUGGGGAAUGAUGCAGGCUUAUUUAUGUUUCAGAAGUAUCUGGCUGCUGUACGCAGGGCAAGAAUGGAAACGGAAAACUGUUGGGUGGCUCUUGCUGUACUUCUGCUGAGAUGAUGGCAGCUGGCUGGUGGUGGUGGUGACCCCCUCUUAGCAAAGAGCCUAACAUACAAGAGCCUAUCGAGAGGAACACUUGGCAGAUUUGAGUGGUGAAGAAACCUCUUCUGCUUGUUGGCCUGGCCGUUUGGCUUCCUGCCCUGGUUGAGGAGGAAGAAUUUGAUGGAAAAGACCCAGCCCCAAAAGGCUUCCUAAUCCUCUUCCUGCCUUCUGUUCACCACCAUCACCAAGACAUUAUUCUCCCGGGACUGUUCGUUUCCCAGCGGUUGUGUGUAAUAGGAGCACUAUUUAAGCAGAAUUCACCAUCGCCCAGGCUUCCUUUGGUUCAGAUCUGGAAUUGUGGCCCUGGACCAGCAUUAUUAUUAUCACCUGUGAAGCGUGUGCAAGACUGAGAACAGCUGUGAAUAAUUUCAUUAUCAAGGCUCCCGUCUCAGAGGCCAGAGCUAACGCUGCAGGAAAACCGUGAUACUAAGAUCUCCCUGCUCUCCGAGGUCACUUCCAGAAGAGGCCACCAGCUGCUGAAAAGCCAGAGUGGGAUAACAAAAUCUGCGUCUUGCUGCUUUAGAGCCAUUAAACUCUUAAGGAAAGAGCUUCAUUUUGUGGUCGAAGCAACAAGGCCUAGGGACGGCCUGCCUAAAGGCACAUAGAGAAUAGAAUACCUUACAACUCUCAACCAGGAAGGGCCUGAUGGUCCAGGACAGCACCGGGCUUCGCUCAAAGUGAGUGCUCACUAAUUAUUUGUCAAUUGAUUGGAGGUUGUCAGGCGCAUCCUGCAAGACAACUCAUUUCUCCCUGGAAGGAGGAGCUCCUGGAGUCUGUUGGUUAACAGGAAAAGUGCUUACUCUAGGAGGAAGGCGGCAAAGCUGGAAGAAGCUCUCGCUGGGAGCCCGCAUACUCUCUCACGGGUGUUUCUGAACCCCAUUCUUUGCACGGAGAAGUGUGGGGGUGCAAGGGUACUUGGAACCUGCCCCUUUGGCGGAGACAUGUAGCCACCUCCAGCCGCUGCUCGGGGCUGAUCCUGCGGAGUGGAGCGCCCCC